GAUGGAUACUCCCUGCUGCCUGGCUGGUUCUCCUGAGAACUGGGAGCCUUUGACCUGGUGCUGACUUUCUGCAGCUUGAAUCCUGGUCCUGAAACAAGCCUCAGGUGGGCCUGGAGCAUGGGUCCCUGUGUAGAACAAGGAGGCUGGAGAAAUCAUGAGCAAUCCUUUAACCUCUCCUCUUCUGAGACAGGAGUAAUUCUGUACCCAGGCCUUUCCUGAUGGACAUCUGUCCAAUGUGCACAAAAGGGCACCCAGGGGGAGCAAUCCUUAACAUGCCCAGGACAAGCACAUGAUUGGAAAGCAGAAGAGCUGAGUCAUCCCCUGAGAAGAAACCUCCCACAGCAGAUGUUGCACCAUGCGAUCCUGCUGUCUCUUGCAGUCACUGCUGGAAGAACGCCUGUGUCACCUGAAGACCUGUGUGGAGAUAACACGGUCCUGUUCCUCCGGUCACAUCGCUAAAGCAAAGAUAAAUUCCUUGUUCGGUGCCUGGUGCACUGCAAGUGCCAGGAAAUCCUUCCUGUUUGGAAGCAUCCCUGCCUGUAUUGAGACCUUACCUUUGAAAGGCCCUAAUACCAAUGUUUCUGCCAGUCCCAUAGCACUGUGGUAUUAA
rnacentral:lncRNA from 1 species